AUUGAACGCUGGCGGCAGGCCUAACACAUGCAAGUCGAACGGUAACAGGAAACAGCUUGCUGUUUCGCUGACGAGUGGCGGACGGGUGAGUAAUGUCUGGGAAACUGCCUGAUGGAGGGGGAUAACUACUGGAAACGGUAGCUAAUACCGCAUAACGUCGCAAGACCAAAGAGGGGGACCUUCGGGCCUCUUGCCAUCGGAUGUGCCCAGAUGGGAUUAGCUAGUAGGUGGGGUAACGGCUCACCUAGGCGACGAUCCCUAGCUGGUCUGAGAGGAUGACCAGCCACACUGGAAGUGAGACACGGUCCAGACUCUUACGGGAGGCAGCAGUGGGGAAUAUUGCACAAUGGGCGCAAGCCUGAUGCAGCCAUGCCGCGGGUAUGAAGAAGGCCUUCGGGUUGUAAAGUACUUUCAGCGGGGAGGAAGGGAGUAAAGUUAAUACCUGUACUCAUUGACGUUACCCGCAGAAGAAGCACCGGCUAACUCCGUG
rnacentral:rRNA from 1 species